GCGCCCACAGCGACCAGCCGAACGCCGCGAGCGUGCCGAGCGAGACCAGGGUGUCCAUGGUGGCCGCUCCGUGCCGGAGGUUGGUCCAGGCGGCGCGGUGGAAGGGCAGCCCGCCCCAGACCACGACGGGCGCGGUCAGGGUGAGCGAGAGCCACUGCCAGUUGUCGAACUGGAGCGCCGGGACCAUCGCGAGCAGCACGACGGGGGCGGCGAGGAGGGCGGAGACGACCAGGCGCCGGCGCAGGGCGGACAGCUCGGGGUCUUCGGUGCCCGCCGCGGACCCGGCGCCCUCCGGCGGCUCGGCCUCCUCGGCCGGCUGGGGUUCCUCGGCGGUGUAACCGGUCCUGACGACGGUGGCGAUCAGGUCGGCGACCGGGGUGGUCGCCGGGUACGUGACCCGGGCCUUCUCCGUCGCGUAGUUCACCGUGGCGGUGACGCCGUCCAUCCGGUUGAGCUUCUUCUCGACACGGGCGGCGCAGGAGGCACAGGUCAUCCCGCCGACGAUCAGCUCGACCUCGGCGAGGGCCGGCCCGGGGGCCGUGGCGUCCGUGGGCGUUUCCGCGGUGGUGCUGGUCAUGGUCCGGACUCCAGACGAGCCGGCCGGACCGUGCGAGGCCCGGCCGGAGGGGCUGUGGGAGGUGCUGGGCGCUUCAGAACGGGGCUGCGGGGCCUUCGGGCCGUGGGCGGCGCAUGGUCGCUCGUCCCCGGUGACGUGGCCGGUCAGGCCCUGCCGACCAGCUCGAAGCCCGCCUCGUCCACGGCGGCGCGUACGGCCUCGUCGUCGAGGGGCGCCUCGGAGACGACGGUGACGACGCCGGUGGACGCGACGGCCUGCACCGAGCGGACGCCCGCGAUCUCGGAGAUCUCGCCGGAAACGGCGCCCUCGCAGUGUCCGCAGCUCAUUCCGCUCACCUUGUAGACGGUGGUGACGGAGCCCUGGGUUUCGGUCUGGGCGGUCAUGUCGUUGCUCCUCGUCAAGGCGUUCGUGGCGGGUACGCGUGAUCCGGCGCGGACCACUCACCCCCCACUGUACCCCUAGGGGGUAUGAAGCCGGAUGGGCCUGCCGUGAGAUGAGGGGCGGGAAGCGGAAACUCCGCUACGGAAGUGAGGAUGACGGAUGCGCGCGGUCGUGUUCGAGCGCUUCGGUGAGCCGGCCGAGGUGCGGGAGGUCGCCGACCCGCGGCCCUCGCCGCACGGCGUCGUGGUCCGCGUCGAGGCCACCGGGCUGUGCCGCAGCGACUGGCACGGAUGGCAGGGCCACGACCCGGACAUCACGCUGCCGCACGUGCCCGGCCACGAGCUCGCCGGGGUCGUCGAGGCGGUCGGCGACCGGGUGGCCGGAUGGCGGCCCGGCGACCGGGUGACCGUGCCCUUCGUCUGCGCCUGCGGGAGCUGCGGAGCGUGCGCGGCGGGCGACCAGCAGGUGUGCGAACGCCAGACCCAGCCGGGCUUCACCCACUGGGGUUCCUUCGCCGAGUACGUGGCGCUCGACCACGCCGACGUCAACCUCGUCGCCGUGCCCGAGGGCAUGU
rnacentral:rRNA from 1 species